rnacentral:rRNA from 1 species
CCCAGUUCUAUACCACCCUGAACAAGCCUGACCUCAGAAGCUAAGCAGGGGUGGGCCUGGUUAGUGCUUGGA